rnacentral:rRNA from 1 species
UACGUAGGGUGCGAGCGUUAAUCGGAAUUACUGGGCGUAAAGCGUGCGCAGGCGGUUUUGUAAGCCAGAUGUGAAAUCCCCGGGCUUAACCUGGGAAUGGCAUUUGGGACUGCAAGGCUGGAGUUUGGCAGAGGAGACUGGAAUUCCUGGUGUAGCAGUGAAAUGCGUAGAUAUCUGGAGGAACACCGGUGGCGAAGGCGGCAUCCUGGACCGGUAUUGACGCUGAGGCGCGAAAGCCAGGGGAGCAAACGGG